rnacentral:rRNA from 1 species
UACGGGGGGAGCAAGCGUUGUUCGGAUUUACUGGGCGUAAAGGGCGCGUAGGCGGUCGUGACAAGUCACUUGUGAAAUCUCCGGGCUUAACUCGGAACGGUCAAGUGAUACUGUCGGACUAGAGUACAGAAGGGGCAACUGGAAUUCUCGGUGUAGCGGUGAAAUGCGUAGAUAUGCGGAGGAACACCGAUGGCGAAGGCAAUCCCCUGGGCCUGUACUGACGCUCAUGCACGAAAGCGUGGGGAGCAAACAGG